rnacentral:rRNA from 1 species
UACGUAGGGAGCGAGCGUUGUCCGGAAUGAUUGGGCGUAAAGGGCGUGUAGGCGGCCAAUUAAGUCUGAAGUGAAAUCCCUGGCUUCAAGUCAGGGUCUGCUUUGGAAACUGGUUGGCUUGAGUGAAGGAGAGGCUAUCGGAAUUCCCGGUGUAGCGGUGAAAUGCGCAGAGAUCGGGAGGAACACCAGUGGCGAAGGCGGGUAGCUGGACUGUAACUGACGCUAAGGCGCGAAAGUGUGGGGAGCAAAC